UACGUAGGGGGCGAGCGUUGUCCGGAUUUAUUGGGCGUAAAGAGCGUGUAGGCGGCCAGACAGGUCUGCUGUGAAAACUCGAGGCUCAACCUCGAGACGCCGGUGGAAACCGUUUGGCUAGAGUCCGGAAGAGGAGAGUGGAAUUCCUGGUGUAGCGGUGAAAUGCGCAGAUAUCAGGAAGAACACCCGUGGCUAAGGCGGCUCUCUAGUACGGUACUGACGCUGAGACGCGAAAGCGUGGGGAGCGAACAGG
rnacentral:rRNA from 1 species